UACGUAGGGGGCAAGCGUUGUCCGGAAUUAUUGGGCGUAAAGCGCGCGCAGGCGGUGCGGUAAGUCUCUGGUGAAAGCGCUCGGCUUAACUGGGCGAGGGCCGGGGAGACUGCCACGCUGGAGGGGAGCAGAGGCGAGUGGAAUUCCGGGUGUAGUGGUGAAAUGCGUAGAGAUCCGGAGGAACACCAGUGGCGAAGGCGGCUCGCUGGGCUCUACCUGACGCUGAGGCGCGAAAGCGUGGGGAGCGAACCGG
rnacentral:rRNA from 1 species